rnacentral:lncRNA from 1 species
GGGGCUCUGGGGUGACGGAACUCAGGAUGGGAAGGGGGCGGAUAGAGCUUCUCUGCAUUGCCCUAGGCACGCCUGUACGUGUGGAUGCCCGCCAAAAUGCGAGCAGUUCCAGGCACCACGACGUACGUGGGAAGGCUCACUACAGCGUGUCAGGCGUGUGCUCACGUUGGGGGUUUGAGCCGUGGGCAGAGAUGGAGACUUGACCUGCUCCUCCCCGUUGAUUAGAGAGUAAGGUAACGGAGGAGACGGUUCGGGAGGACCUCCUUUCCUCCUCUUUCGGUUUCCCGAAUGCCUGUCAAGAAGCGGCGGCGGCGGCGGCAGCAGAGGCGAGCGAAAGCGGCUGAGUCCAGCUCUGACAUCAUCAUCAUCAUCUCCCGGGGAGGGCGGGCGCCUCCGUGCGCGCAAGUGGGGCGCUGCCUCGACCCCCUUCUUGCUGCCUCCCCAAAGGGAGAGCCGCUGGGAGCACAAAAUGCAAGACAAGGAAUUCUGCCGCAGCCGCAUCCCUCGCCUGGUCCUCCGACCUCAUCUCCCUCAGCAACAUCCCCAUCACCAGAAAGUGUCCCCAGCUUCUGAGUCCCCCUUCUCUGAAGAGGAAAGCAGAGACUUCAACCCCUUGACUGUUUCUGAGAAAUGAACUGUACAUGACAGACAGCCUAUCAUUAGUAGCUGAAAUCACUUGGUGUUCCAAAGACAUGAUUCAGGCAGACCUUCAUGACUGAGCAGCCAUAUUUGGAAAUGAAGUCUGUGCUUAUCUCCAAAUAACCAAUCACAACCCAAAGCAAUCUCAUAUGCAGAAUCCAGAAGGUAUAAAAAGUUCUUGUUGUGAGAAUUAGACAUGCCCAACGUUUAAGGAAAUAUGCCUCUUCUAAUGAUAGGCUAUCAGCAGUGAAUAAGGUGGCCAUCAUAUAUGCUGGUGGCAGAACAUUGCCAGCAUGGCUAGUAGUCACUGAUAGCCUUAAUGUCUACAGAUUUGUCUAAGCUCCAUCUGAAGUUGUCCAAGCUGGCUGCCAUGCCUGUGUCUCCUAGAAGCAAAACCAAAAAAUCAGCUAUGUUCUGUGUGAAUUCAUUAGAUGUGCCCAUAUUUUGCCAUUACAGCCUAAUAUUAUGGUAACCUUCUCUGCUCAGAUAGAACGAAUAAAUUUUUGAAGGAGUAAAGAAGUAGCA